UUUUUAGAGUUUGAUUNCCCGCUCAGGACGAACGCUGGCGGCGUGCCUAAUACAUGCAAGUCGAACGCUUCUUUUUCCACCGGAGCUUGCUCCACCGGAAAAAGAGGAGUGGCGAACGGGUGAGUAACACGUGGGUAACCUGCCCAUCAGAAGGGGAUAACACUUGGAAACAGGUGCUAAUACCGUAUAACAAUCAAAACCGCAUGGUUUUGAUUUGAAAGGCGCUUUCGGGUGUCGCUGAUGGAUGGACCCGCGGUGCAUUAGCUAGUUGGUGAGGUAACGGCUCACCAAGGCCACGAUGCAUAGCCGACCUGAGAGGGUGAUCGGCCACAUUGGGACUGAGACACGGCCCAAACUCCUACGGGAGGCAGCAGUAGGGAAUCUUCGGCAAUGGACGAAAGUCUGACCGAGCAACGCCGCGUGAGUGAAGAAGGUUUUCGGAUCGUAAAACUCUGUUGUUAGAGAAGAACAAGGAUGAGAGUAACUGUUCAUCCCUUGACGGUAUCUAACCAGAAAGCCACGGCUAACUACGUGCCAGCAGCCGCGGUAAUACGUAGGUGGCAAGCGUUGUCCGGAUUUAUUGGGCGUAAAGCGAGCGCAGGCGGUUUCUUAAGUCUGAUGUGAAAGCCCCCGGCUCAACCGGGGAGGGUCAUUGGAAACUGGGAGACUUGAGUGCAGAAGAGGAGA
rnacentral:rRNA from 1 species